rnacentral:ncRNA from 1 species
UUGUCUUCGGGGCGGGGUGCGAUUCCCCACCGGCGGUAUAGUCCGCGAGCGGCUUCGGUCGCAGGAACCGGUGCGAUUCCGGUACCGACAGUAUAGUCUGGAUGAGAGAAGGCG